ACUGUUAGCACUUUGCAGUUUAAUGCAGACCUUAGAUUCAUGCAUAUAUAGAAAAUGUACACUGAUUUAAUUUUGCUGUAAAUACCACUAUUUAUCUGGUCUGUUUGCAUCAGCUUAGAGAGUGAGAGGUGGUCCUGCAGUGAGCAGUGCAGGAUCAAAUCUUAUUCUUGGAUUAAAUCCUUAAAUUGCAAGUUUAGAGGUGAACCAGGGUCCUGGGGUUAGCAGUGAUAAAAAUCCUGUUCUAGGAUUAAAUCCUUUAUUUGGAACUUUAAAGGGAGUAAAGAGACUUUUACUGAUAUUGUCAGAACUAUUGGAUUGUCAGUUAGG